rnacentral:pre_miRNA from 1 species
AUAUAGGGCAAUCUUUCAUUAAGUAGGACUAAGUUAUCCUUUUAAAAAUACUAGCUUUCCUUUCAAGUCAGGCAUCUUGU